rnacentral:rRNA from 1 species
GAUGAACGCUGGCGGCGUGCCUAAUACAUGCAAGUCGAGCGAACAGACGAGGAGCUUGCUCCUCUGACGUUAGCGGCGGACGGGUGAGUAACACGUGGAUAACCUACCUAUAAGACUGGGAUAACUUCGGGAAACCGGAGCUAAUACCGGAUAACAUGUUGAACCGCAUGGUUCAACAGUGAAAGACGGUCUUGCUGUCACUUAUAGAUGGAUCCGCGCCGCAUUAGCUAGUUGGUAAGGUAACGGCUUACCAAGGCAACGAUGCGUAGCCGACCUGAGAGGGUGAUCGGCCACACUGGAACUGAGACACGGUCCAGACUCCUACGGGAGGCAGCAGUAGGGAAUCUUCCGCAAUGGGCGAAAGCCUGACGGAGCAACGCCGCGUGAGUGAUGAAGGUCUUCGGAUCGUAAAACUCUGUUAUUAGGGAAGAACAAGUGUGUAAGUAACUAUGCACGUCUUGACGGUACCUAAUCAGAAAGCCACGGCUAACUACGUG